rnacentral:rRNA from 1 species
GACGAACCGUGCGAACGUUGUUCGGAAUCACUGGGCUUAAAGGGCGCGUAGGCGGCCUGCUAAGUCGAACGUGAAAUCCCCGGGCUCAACCCGGGAACUGCGUCCGAUACUGACAGGCUCGAAUCCGGGAGAGGGAUGUGGAAUUCCAGGUGUAGCGGUGAAAUGCGUAGAUAUCUGGAGGAACACCGGUGGCGAAGGCGGCAUCCUGGACCGGUACUGACGCUGAGGCGCGAAAGCCAGGGGAGCAAACGGG